AAAGGGUAAAUAUUUAAGCUUCUAACUUAAAAUAGGAAUUAAAACACCACCCUUUU
rnacentral:tRNA from 1 species